UCCUCCGUGGCGCAAUUGGCUAGCGCGUUCGACUGUUAUGAAUUCUUAUUAAAGGACGAAGGUGAUCGAGAGGUUGACAGUUCAAGCCUGUCCGGGGGAG